rnacentral:lncRNA from 10 species
GGGUGAUCCCUGCAAGUCCCCUGAGAUUCGAAAUUUACCUUCCUCCUCUGUGAAAUGAGAAGACUGGACUGGCGCCCUUCUAAGGAUGUCUGCUGGAGUGUCUUCCGAUGAAGGUCCAGGGCUGCAUCCCAAACACCCCCACCGACAGCUCAGCCAACAGGACGGAUCACGACUGAAACAGAUGUUCUUGCUCCCCCGGCCAAAAAGUUGGAGUCCCUCCCUGGAGAUGAGACACUUCCCUUUGACACCAGAAGCACCUUCCUGAUUUCAUCAGAUGAGAUACUUGUUUGGGGAAUGACCCCAAUGUCUUGCCUUAAGCAAACAAAUAAAAUGUUUGAAUUUAGUGAGGGCAUGAACCCGAUAUGUAAAAUGUAGAGUUAGGAAAAUUAUAUUGUAUAGAAAAUAGCACAUUAUUUCCCUGGUGAGCCAGCAACCUCCCAAAAUAAUUGUGUAAAACAGAGGAUAAAAAGAGCUCAGCAAGAAACCCUUAUGUCCUCGAGAAGGCAACCAAAUUGGAGAAUGAGGUUUAGUAUACGGUAUUUCUCAACAAGAACUGUAAAACUGAAUUAAAACCUGAAAGCAAUGAUAAAACUCUUACUAAAAUAUGUAGUCCAUGCAUUUCUUCUGUGUGAUUCUUCCGUGCGAUUCUUUAGAACUGAA